UACGGAGGUGACAAGCGUUGUCCGGAUUUACUGGGCGUAAAGAGCGCGCAGGCGGUCGUUCAAGUCGAGUGUGAAAGCCCCCGGCUCAACUGGGGAGGGUCAUUCGAUACUGAUCGACUCGAAGGCAGGAGAGGGAAGUGGAAUUCCCGGUGUAGUGGUGAAAUGCGUAGAUAUCGGGAGGAACACCAGUGGCGAAGGCGACUUCCUGGCCUGUUCUUGACGCUGAGGCGCGAAAGCUAGGGGAGCAAACGGG
rnacentral:rRNA from 1 species